UGCGCGCGGACCGCGGCUCGCGGCUCGCGGGCUUGGCGGCGGCGAUGGCGGCAGGCCGAUCGCUGGGGCACCCUCCCCUGCCAGCUUAUGCUCAUUAAAGACGAGGUUUAUCCUCGCUCGCGUUUCUUCACCGACAAGGCUACGGAGUUUGGCGAAGCUCAGUGAUGGCCGGAAGACUGUUUUCACUUGAAUGCUUUAUUUUACUCGCCAAUGUGCAGGUCACUAUCAACGUGAGUUUUUAAUGCCACAUCUCACUGCUCCUGAAAAAGUGAUAAAAGUCAGCAUUUGGAAUUCUUGAAGUACUCGUAGGAAAGUACACCAGGAGCUCUUUUAGAGGAAAAGUCAUGUGCUGGGUUGCACUAUCUUGAAGAUGGAGAUGUUCAUGGAUCCUCCUAUAUUACCUGCCAAAUGUAUGACUAUGUGUGAAACAAUUAUAGUUCUUAGCUCAGGCCCAUCAAUUAUGAAGUUGCUUUGAUUUCCCAAUAUGUGGCCCUGUAUUAUGUUUUUACCAGGCUGACAUUUCAUUUCUGGAUGAAUCUUUUGCUGCUUUGAUUUUCUCUUACUUAUUUCCCAUUGAUUAAGGUUGUUCUGGUUUAUUGGUAAUGAUAAAAUAAGGAGUAUGCUACACUUGAGAUAGUAAUAUUAGUAAAAUACAAUUUGCCACUGCAGAAGUUCACUGGACUUGUAACUAGAUAUUUUCUGAAUAUAUCCUGAUUAGAAAGCUAAUCAUGACACACAAGUGGAAGAAGGAGGUCCUUAUUGUGAAGAAAGGAAUUCAUGUUCACAGAAUUCUUACCAAUCACAGACUCACCAGGCAAUAGCUAAGUUAGUGAGGACAAGAUGAGAUUGCAAAUGAAUCUGCUCAGAUUCAGAAUCAGGUUUCAUAUCACUGGCAUAUGUUGUGAAAUUUGUUCUGCUGCAGCAACAGUGCUUUGCAUAGCUUUAUGAUAAAAACUGUACAUUACAAUAAGUCUACACAAAGAAAGAAAAUUAAAUAAGUGCAAAAAAAAAGGGAAAACACUGAGGUAAUGUUCAUGACCAUUAGAAAUCUAAUGGUAGAGAGGAAGCAGCUGUUCUUGACAAGCUGAUUUGUUAGAUCUCCUUGCCCAAUUUUGACAAAUGCCAGGUGAUUGCUUAGGAAUUGAUGGUCAAUUUUGUGGAUUCCCAAGGUGAUCCACUCAUGAUUAUGUAUUAUUGCCCUGCACUAUAGAUUUAAACAUGAUGCACCCAUGUAGAGAAAUGGUCUGGAAAGUUUGAGUUAAGUUUGAGAAUGUUGCUUUGCUUAACCUAAGGUCCUGCAAUCGAUGCAUGUUCCUAAAGUUCACAUACAGGAUUUUGCAACAUUAACUCAGCUAGCUACAGGAACUCAAUGCUCCUAUUUAGAAAGCCAAGUGUCCCAAAUACUUUCAUUAACAACAUUUAAUUGUGCCUUGUCUCUUUUGAAAUUUGUACUGCAGUGGAUUCUACUUAAUUGGGCCAUUGAUUAAUUGAUGGAGAAAAUAGCUGGGAUUCCCUUUGUUUAUUUGGGACACUAUGCCACUUAAUUGAGACAGGAGACUGUCGAACAGUUUUUAAAUAGCAUCAUCUGUGUGCACUUGUAUGGCCAUUAGACACUGUAGCAUUCUUAGAGUGAACAGUUUUUAUAUAGCAUCAAUUGCGAGUAUUUCUGUUCAAACAGAGUGAUUUUUGUCACUGGUAGUUGGCAAGAUAAAAGCAUUAAGACAAUUCAGUACUAUUUUGCUCACUGUGAUUUCAAGCAUUGAGGCUUGGAGAUGCCAGAAACAGCCAGGAGUGAAAAUGAAAUGAUUCCACUACUUCAACAAGUCUAGGAACAAUGAAGAAUUGGGCAAUCAAUGGGGUCUAAGGUGCUUCAAUGAAAAAUGCUUUAACCUGCACCUGCAAUGGGCUAGCAGGGUGACACUGAACUGAAUUAAACCGAAUAUUACUGGACUCAUGUUUUGAUGUUUGAUAUUCUGUGUGUUGACCACUAGCUUUUAAGUACUCUAAUAGUAUCGGUAGUGUUUGCAUUUGUUUUGUAUUUCAUUUAAACACAUAAUCAAUUACUCAGUUAAAUGGUAGUUUGUCUUUUUUUAUAUCUUUUUAACUAUUUCCUUAAAUACUUUGGCUAAUUGGGGCAGUCACUUAAUUGAGCCAAAAUGUACUGAUGAUGUUGCCCAAUUAACUGGAAUCCACAGUAUAUAAUGCAUUGGCCUUGCUCUUGUACUGCAUUAUAGAUUCACUUACUGUAUAUAUUGCUAUUUACUCCAUAUUACACCAACAAAAAAAUUACUUCAUGCGCUGUCUGCCUAUUUCAUCAGCCUGUCAAUUUUGUCCUGACGUCUACCACAGUUCUCCUCAUUAUUUACCAUACUGUCUAGUUCCUUUGCAGUAAGCGGAUGAGACUUCCUGCACUGUGCUUAAUGAAGUUUGCUAUUAUGAGCAACCUUAAUUGCAAAGAAUGCAAAGGCAUUUUUAUAUAAUUUGCAAGGAGCAUUUCAGAUCCCUUAAAUCAGAAAAUUAAGGUCAGUUUAUUAGAAGUCAGAUACUGUCUUUACAUAUUUUUGAGAACUAGCUUUU